UGAAGAAGAAGAAGAAUAUUAUUUCAGUAGUAAUGCAGAAAAACUCAACUGUACAUUUACAAUGGAACAGUGCUUAUAUAUGCACACAUACUGACUCCUAACCGACUAACAGAAGAAUUAACAUCUUUCAUAACUAACUUGGCUAAUCCCUUAACUACCAUUAAUUGUCCUUAUGUAUUACAUCAAGUAACCCCUAUCAACACACCAAGCUUGCCUACUAAAAACUCAUGUUGCAAUCUGGAUAGUCCUUUGGUUAAUAUGUCUGCAAGUUGCUCCUUAGAGCUUACAUGUUCAGUCUUCAUAAUCCCUGCCUGUAUCUUCUAUCUGAUAAAAUGACAAUCAAUUUCUAUAUGUUUUGUUCUCUCAUGAAACACCGGAUUAGCUGCUAUUUGCAAAGCUGCCCUGCUAUCACUGUACACUAUAGCUGGUUGUUCUACUUCAUUCCCCAGUUCUUUCAACAUUGCAAUAAUCCAUACUAACUCUGAAACUGCAUUAACCAUGCUUCUAUACUCAGAUUCAGCUGAGCUUCUAGAUACCACACUCUGCUUCUUUGAUUUCCAUGACAACAAUGUUUCACCAUGUUUAACUAGAAAACUUGACACUGAUCUUCUUGUAUUAGGGCAUGCUGCCCAAUCUGCAUCACAAUAGACACUUAGAUUGUUUGACUGUUUGCUACUUAAUAGUAUUCCAAGUCCUGGUUCCCUCUUUACAUACUUCAUCACCCUUAUUGCUGCUUCCCAGUGUGUCCUCUUAGGCUGCUGUAAAAAUUGGCUGAGUGUUUAGACUGAAUAGGCAAUAUCUGGUCUUGUCAUAGUCAAAUAUAACAUUUUGCCUACUAACCUUUGAUAUUGUUCCUUGUCUUCAAAAAACUCAUCCUCUAGAUCUCCUGUGAGACAGUCCACGAAAGUGAGCUUGUUCUCGAAUUAGCGCACUAGAAAUCGAAGAUUGAAGAUUAUUUCCGACAAGCGCACAUUCAUAGGCUGUUAGCAGGAUAAGGCGAGAAAGAUAUUGAAUGAGUUUAAAGAACAUUUAUCUAAGCUAAGCCCAGUUAAUCCUACUAUCUUCAGGAGUUCUGGAACUGUUAACUUCAUAUUGGCUUCAAGUGGAGUCCAAGCAGGUUUGGCACUUCCCAAUCCCAAGUUUGAAAUGAUUUCCAAGGCAUACUUCCUUUGGUUCAUUAAAAUACCUUUGGUAGAUCUACUAAACUCCAUACCAAGAAAAAAACUUCAAUUCACCAAGAUCUUUGAUCUUGAAAGUUUUGUGCAAAACAUUCUUGUGUGUUCAAUAAGAGUCAAAUUGCUUCCUGUUACCAACAUAUCAUCUACAUAAACAAGAAUCACCACCAUGUCUGAACCUUUCCUUUUGAUGAACAAUGAAUGAUCUAAACUGCUUUGGACAAAAUCAAAUUCCAAUAGUGCUUCAGUCAACUUCAAAUUUCAUUGCCUACUAGCCUGUUUAAGCCCAUAGAGGGAUUUGACAAGUCUGCAUACAAGUCCAGACUUCCCCUGACUUGCAAAACCCUCUAGCAACUGCAUAUAGACUUCAUCAUAAAGAUCACCUUGAAAAAAGGCAUUAUAAACAUCUAACUAUUGAACAUGCCACCCAUGCUGAGCAGCCAAAGAAAGAACAGUCCUGACAGUAGCAAUCUUAACAACUGGAGAGAAAGUUUCAUGGAAAUCAAAACCUGCCCUUUGAGUGUAACCUUUUGCCACUAGUCUAUCUUUAACUCGUUCAAUAUUCCCAUCAGCUUUCAGUUUCACUUUAUAAACCCACCUACAGCCAAUAGAAACAUUGCCUUGAGGAAAUGGGACCAAAUCCCAUGUUUGAUUGUCUUGGAGGGCUUGCAAUUCAGAUUGCAUAGCCUCCAUCCAUCUCACAUCUGAAGCUGCCUCUUUGUAAGAUUUAGGUUCACAUAUAGCAGAAAAAACUUUCAAAUAUUUCUAAUAAGGUGGUGACAAGUGAUCAUAAGAAACAAAAUUUUCUAGUGGAUACAAGACAGUGUUAGCUGAGGGUUUGGAAACAUAAUCUGAAAACCAUAAAGGCUGCUUAGAUGUUCUGGUAGAUCUCCUAAGAGGUGGAGAUGCAUGAAGGAUGUGAGCAGAUGGUAUAGGUGGUGAAACAACAGGAACAUGAACUAAAAGUGGAUGUAGAGGGGGUAGAUCACUUGGAGGUGUAGUGAUAUCAGCUGGUAAAUCAUCCUGGAUAUAAAACUCAGGAGAAUGAGAAAACUCAUGGUAGGAAGGUUCAACUGACUUAGAGAAGUGUUGAAAAUGAUAUUGAUCUUCAUGAAAUAUCACAUCUCUGUUUACAAAGAAUUUUUUGUGUUGAAGAUCAAAACAUAUGUAACCUUUAGUAACACUUAAAUACCCCAUAAACACUGACCUUAUUGCCCUUGGUGCAAACUUAUCAGUUCUAGGCAUAUUGCUUGCAAAGCAUAAACAACCAAGUGUUCUCAAGUGUGUAAGGCUUGGUUUUUGUCCAAAAAAGACUUCAUAAGGUGACUUGCCUUCUAAAGUAUGGGAAGGUAGUCUGUUUAUGAUAUAGGCUGCAGUAAGAAUACAAUUCCCCCAAAACUGAAGUGGAAUAUGUCCCUGAAACCUCAGAGCUCUGGUAACCUCAAGAAGGUGCAUGUGCUUCCUCUCAGCAAUUCCAUUCUGUUGAGGGGUAUGAGCACAUGUCUUAUAAUGUAUGAUACCAGAUUCUGUCAACAAUGCAUGCAUUGAACUACUAAUGAAUUCACCCCCAUUAUCUGUUCUCACACCUUUAACUGUAGUAUUAAACUGAGUAACAGCCAUUCUGAAAAACUGUUUAAGAAGCAGCAACACAUCACUUUUGUAUUUCAACAGAAAGACCCAUACAGUUCUUGAAAAAUUAUCAGCAAUGGUGAGAAAAAACUUGUUUCCAUCAAAAGUAGGGGUAUUAUAUGGACCCCAAACAUCCAAAUGUAGUAAAGUAAACAAUGCAUUGGACCUAGUAAUAUUGCUAGGAAAGGGAAAUCUAGUAUGUUUAGCUAAAGGACAUAUCUCACAAUUAUGUAAAACUGCUUUACAAUCGUCAAGAGUGUAACCUAAGAUGUCUUUAUUAGACCCUACUGAGGCAUGUGCAAGUCUUCUGUGCCACAACAUAAUGUUCUUCUUGUCACUUUGUGCAGCAAAACUUUUAGCAUUAUCAUUGGCAUGAACUUUGGUGUUAUAAGAGUUGGACUGAGUUAAAAAAAUAGAGACCAUUCUCUUAAUCUACCAAUCCCUUUCAGUUUCCCAUUGGAAAGGUCUUGGAAUAAACAAAAUCCAAGAUAAAAAGAUUCAAAACAAUUGAGUUAUUUGGUAACUUUUGAUAUAGACAAAAGAUUGUAGUGGAAAUCUGGCACAAACAAGACAUCAUGUAAUACUUCUAUGUCUACUAGCUUGUAACUACCUGUAUGAGUUACCAAUGUUACACCACCUUUUGAUAAAUAAAUUCUCCUGUUUUGUUCAGUCUUAACAACUCUCACAUCAUGCAAAACUUCUAAACUAGAAACCAUGUGAUUAGUUGCACCACUAUCAAUUAUCCAUUUCAGUUUGGCAAUUUUGGAGAUAGGAGUAUGAACCAUACCUGCCAUAUUAGCCAUCACAUUUGCAGUAGCAUUAUUCCCAUCAAACAUCUGUAAAAUGUUACCAUGUUGGUCACUAGUUAACUAUAGAGCUCUUGGCAGAUCCUUAGGGAUUGAAGGAUCCAAACCAUUAUCUCUUACACCUAAUUGCAUAUAAUGUGAAUUAUUAUCAGCUUGUACAUGAUAAGUAGUGUUUCCUGUUCCCUUCUUCUUAAACUUUCAAUCAGGUGGGUAUCUAUGAAGUUUAAAAUAGUUAUCCUCCACAUGACCUUGUAGCUUGCAAAAGUCACAUAUUUUGUCCCAAUUUCUCUUGCCUUUGUGGUAGUGUUGUGUAGAUGACUGUGACUGUGAAGCUGAUGUGCCUUUGUUAUAACGAUUAGGCAUUCCUUUCCCAGCCAUGAGAGCAGCCAGAUCUUCACCCUCACCACCUAUGGAGGAUGUUAGAGAUCUCUGACUCUCCCUUUCAACAAGCAUAGCAUAUGCCUUGUUGAUAGUAGGAGUAGGCUCUACUAUGAGAAUUUGACUACGUGAUUGAUUAUAAUUUUCAUUCAGCCCCAUCAAAAAUUGCAUCAUUUUUUGUUUCUCUAGAUGUACAGUAAAAUCCUUAGAAGUAGGGCAAUUACAGGAAGGUGGUACAAUGCUCGCAAACUCAUCCCACAAAUUUCGUAAUUUGGAGAAAUAAGUAGGAAUGAUAUCAGUACCUUGUACAGUAGUGGCUAUAGCUUUAUGUAGCUGGUAGAUCCUCGAAGCAUUCACUUUAUCAAAACGCUCCCUGAGAUCUUCCCAAACUGCUCUUGCACUUGUUGCAUAGACAAUCCAAUGUGUAAUUCCGAAGUAACUGAACUCAUGAUCCAACCCUGACAAUGGCAUUGCAUCGAUCCCAUUGAUGCCCUAACUCUGCUCCGAAAUCCUCCCUAGUCAGGCUGCCAUCGACAAUUCCAAGCUUGUUCUUCCCAAGCAAUUGAAUGCGCAUAGCCCUGCUCCAAAUGGAGUAGUUAUCAGAUCCAAUCAGCUGCAUAGGAAUGAUAGAAGCACCAGUGGUGUCGGAGUGAUGCAAAAAUAAAGAAUGAUUGUGAUCAAACUUAGGUGCCGCCAUUGAUGAGGAUCAACUAAGCUCGAAACUGCACAAUUAACUUCAAUAAACCUCAUAAUCGUGGGUGUGUGACUCUGAUACCAUGUUGAAUUAUGAGAAACUACACAAUCCUAGCAUACCAUAGAUGAGCUAAUCAGAGAGACAUUGAAGAAGAAGAAGAAGAAUAUUAUUUCAGUAGUAAUGCAGAAAAACUCAAAUGUACAUUUACAAUGGAACAGUGCUUAUAUAUGCACACAUACUGACUCCUAACCGAUUAACAGAAGAAUUAACAACUUUCAUAACCAACUUGGCUAAUCCCUUAACUACCCUUAAUUGUCCUUAUGUAUUACAUCAAGUAACCCCUAUCAC
rnacentral:lncRNA from 1 species